rnacentral:rRNA from 1 species
UGGGGAAUAUUGCACAAUGGGCGCAAGCCUGAUGCAGCCAUGCCGCGUGUAUGAAGAAGGCCUUCGGGUUGUAAAGUACUUUCAGUAGGGAGGAAGGUGUCAAGGUUAAUAACCUUGGCAAUUGACGUUACCGACAGAAGAAGCACCGGCUAACUCCGUGCCAGCAGCCGCGGUAAUACGGAGGGUGCAAGCGUUAAUCGGAAUUACUGGGCGUAAAGCGCACGCAGGCGGUUGAUUGAGUCAGAUGUGAAAUCCCCGGGCUUAACCCGGGAAUUGCAUCUGAUACUGGUCAGCUAGAGUCUUGUAGAGGGGGGUAGAAGUCCAUGUGUAGCGGUGAAAUGCGUAGAGAUGUGGGGGAAUACCGGUGGCGAAGGCGGCCCCCUGGACAAAGACUGACGCUCAGGUGCGAAAGCGUGGGGAGCAAACAGG